GACGAACGCUGGCGGCGUGCCUAAUACAUGCAAGUCGAGCGGACCUCUUCGGAGGUUAGCGGCGGACGGGUGAGUAACACGUGGGCAACCUGCCUGUAAGACUGGGAUAACUUCGGGAAACCGGAGCUAAUACCGGAUAAUCCUUUCCCUCUCAUGAGGGAAAGCUGAAAGACGGUUUCGGCUGUCACUUACAGAUGGGCCCGCGGCGCAUUAGCUAGUUGGUGAGGUAACGGCUCACCAAGGCGACGAUGCGUAGCCGACCUGAGAGGGUGAUCGGCCACACUGGGACUGAGACACGGCCCAGACUCCUACGGGAGGCAGCAGUAGGGAAUCUUCCGCAAUGGACGAAAGUCUGACGGAGCAACGCCGCGUGAGCGAAGAAGGCCUUCGGGUCGUAAAGCUCUGUUGUCAGGGAAGAACAAGUAUCGGAGUAACUGCCGGUACCUUGACGGUACCUGACCAGAAAGCCACGGCUAACUACGUGCCAGCAGCCGCCGUAA
rnacentral:rRNA from 1 species